rnacentral:lncRNA from 1 species
UGUGCGCAUGUCAGUAUAUCACAUGUAUGCUUGGUGCUUUUGGAGGUUAGAAGAGGGCAUUAGAUGACCUGAAAUGGGACUUGUGGAUGGUUUUUAAACACCCUGUGCAUGCUAGGAAUCAAACCCAGCUCCUCUGCAGAGAACAAAGUGCUCUUAACCUCUGAGCCAUCUUCCUCACCUUUGGAAAUUGCUUUUGAAAGAUGUAUUUUUAUUAUUUAUUUUGGUUUUUGGAAACGAGAUCUUGCUACAUAGCAUCAUGACCAAUGUUCAUGUGUAGCAUGAGCUUAUUCCAAUAUUCUUUACCUCAGGAACUCCUUUAGCUUCCGUGAAUAUGUGACUUAAUGAUGCAACACGAAUAGCUGCUUGCUUAUCUUUUAACAUCCUGAGGGCACCUGGUACCAUCUUCUAAGAACAGUGGCCCAAUUUCAGCCUUAGUUGACAGAAACUGCCGGACUCUUCCAAAGUAUCUGUGCGACUUCACAUUCCCACAAGGAAGUGUCUAAAAUGUCUAAAAUGAAAAACCCUCGGACUUUUGAGGAGCAAACAGAAUGCAUCAUGAAUACUCUACUCACAGACUUCUUGACCCCAACAUGGAAACCUGGAGGGCUGAAGAAGAGGGUUCUCCCCGGACUGAGCAUACUUCUUCUGGCAGAUCGGGUGGCUGUUUUCUGACAAUUAAAACAUGCUGUUUUCAAGUCCGCCAGUGUCCUUUCUAUUGAUCAUUGACUUUGGAAGCAGCUUCCAGGAGCCUACAGUGACAUUAUACUUUCUCGCCUCAUGUGAGUUUUAGUAAGAGUUUGUCGAAACCAAGACCUCCUGAGAAAGUAAUUUCUUAGUAGUAAAAUUUCAAGCACCAGGUCCGAUCUUUGCUGGAGAUAUCUGGAAGGAAACAGCACAUCAGAAACGUUUUCUUUAGGUUUAGACUUGUCUUUUGGUGAGGAUUUCAUCUGCCAGUGAUUUUGGAAUCAGAAGGAUAUCAGGAGUUUUAGUUUAAGUCUUGUUCCUUCAAGUAAAGGAUUUUCUUUCACUUCU